UACGAAGGGUGCAAACGUUGCUCGGAAUUAUUGGGCGUAAAGCGCACGUAGGCGGCUUUGUAAGUUAGAGGUGAAAGCCCAGGGCUUAACCCUGGAAUUGCCUUUAAGACUGCAUCGCUAGAAUUGUGGAGAGGUAAGUGGAAUUCCGAGUGUAGAGGUGAAAUUCGUAGAUAUUCGGAAGAACACCAGUGGCGAAGGCGACUUACUGGACACAUAUUGACGCUGAGGUGCGAAAGCGUGGGGAGCAAACAGGG
rnacentral:rRNA from 1 species